rnacentral:rRNA from 1 species
AUACGGAGGAUCCGAGCGUUAUCCGGAUUUAUUGGGUUUAAAGGGUGCGCAGGCGGCCAUUUAAGUCAGCGGUUAAAUCGUGGGGCUCAACCCCAUUCUGCCGUUGAUACUGGGUGGCUUGAUUGCGGUCGAGGUUGGCGGAAUUCGUUGUGUAGCGGUGAAAUGCAUAGAUAUCACGAAGAACUCCGAUUGCGAAGGCAGCCUGCUGGACUGUAACUGACGCUGAUGCUCGAAAGUGUGGGUAUCAAACAGGAUUAGAUACCCUGGUAGUCCACACAGUAAACGAUGAAUACUCGCUGUUUGCGAUAUACAGUAAGCGGCCAAGCGAAAGCGUUAAGUAUUCCACCUGGGGAGUACGCCGGCAACGGUGAAACUCAAAGGAAUUGACGGGG